rnacentral:rRNA from 1 species
AUUGAACGCUGGCGGCAUGCUUUACACAUGCAAGUCGGACGGCAGCGGGGUAGUGCUUGCACUACUGCCGGCGAGUGGCGAACGGGUGAGUAAUAUAUUGGAACGUACCGAGUAAUGGGGGAUAACCAAUCGAAAGAUUGGCUAAUACCGCAUACGCUCUGAGGAGGAAAGCAGGGGACCUUCGGGCCUUGCGUUAUUCGAGCGGCCAAUAUCUGAUUAGCUAGUUGGUGGGGUAAGGGCCUACCAAGGCGACGAUCAGUAGCGGGUCUGAGAGGAUGAUCCGCCACACUGGGGCUGAGACACGGCCCAGACUCCUACGGGAGGCAGCAGUGGGGAAUUUUGGACAAUGGGCGCAAGCCUGAUCCAGCCAUGCCGCGUGUCUGAAGAAGGCCUUCGGGUUGUAAAGGACUUUUGUUAGGGAAGAAAAAGGAGCGGUUAAUACCCGUUUCUGCUGACGGUACCUAAAGAAUAAGCACCGGCUAACUACGUG